rnacentral:rRNA from 1 species
AGCGAACGCUGGCGGCAGGCCUAACACAUGCAAGUCGAACGAAGUCUUCGGACUUAGUGGCGGACGGGUGAGUAACACGUGGGAACGUGCCUUUAGGUUCGGAAUAACUCAGGGAAACUUGUGCUAAUACCGAAUGUGCCCUUCGGGGGAAAGAUUUCUCGCCUUUAGAGCGGCCCGCGUCUGAUUAGCUAGUUGGUGAGGUAAAGGCUCACCAAGGCUACGAUCAGUAGCUGGUCUGAGAGGAUGACCAGCCACAUUGGGACUGAGACACGGCCCAAACUCCUACGGGAGGCAGCAGUGGGGGAUCUUGCGCAAUGGGCGAAAGCCUGACGCAGCCAUGCCGCGUGGAUGAUGAAGGUCUUAGGAUUGUAAAAUCCUUUCACCGGUGAAGAUAAUGACUGUAGCCGGAGAAGAAGCCCCGGCUAACUUCGUGCCAGCCGCCGCCGUAAUAC